UGGAAAGGCAUCACCGGCAACGGUCAACCGGUCCUCUGCAUCUGUAACAUUAACGUGUCAUAUCAAGAGGAUGCCUGAAGAAUAGAGAACUGCACGGUACUUCAAGAACAAGGAUAAUGUGAAGAGCUGUAUUAACUACAGAAGAAUAACGGCUCCUUCUGGUUAUCCUUUAACUCAGUGUAACCAGCUCUGUUCCGCCCAGUGGCCCGAUCGACACCAUACCGCUCCCUCCACGCCUGAAGCACAAAACAAAGUCAGAGGUCAAAUCAUCAUCAGUGAUGUACUGAUGGAAGCCCAAGAGGUUCAAACAGCGAGACCCCAGA